UACGUAGGGUGCGAGCGUUAAUCGGAAUUACUGGGCGUAAAGCGUGCGCAGGCGGUCUGUUAAGACCGAUGUGAAAUCCCCGGGCUUAACCUGGGAACUGCAUUGGUGACUGGCAGGCUUUGAGUGUGGCAGAGGGAGGUAGAAUUCCACGUGUAGCAGUGAAAUGCGUAGAGAUGUGGAGGAAUACCGAUGGCGAAGGCAGCCUCCUGGGCCAACACUGACGCUCAUGCACGAAAGCGUGGGGAGCAAACAGG
rnacentral:rRNA from 5 species